UAAUUAAUUUACCUUUGGCAUUUUCUACUGUAAAUGAAACACAGUUCCUACUUCAGAUCUAUGUGCUGAGGCUGAGUGAGGUUAUUAGAUAAAUGCCUGUGGCCUGAGAAGCCUGAGGGGUGGCUGUAAUGAGAAGAUUUUUACCAGCUGGUCCAAAAUCUUCAAGUUGCCUACCUGACUGCUGAAAGAAAGCCAAGAUGGGAACAAUAGCAAGAAGACAAAGCAAAGAUAAUCGGUAAUAGAUUGCAAGACAGUGGUGUCAUCCUGCAUGUCCCCAUAGCACCUCAACCACCCUAGAACUCACAAAAGCCAAAUGUCUAUCAGGGCAGCAAUUAGAUCUCAAGAUAUGUCAGAUAUUGUCUGGGACGCUGAAUGUCCUUGCACUGGUCUAAUACGAGGGCAAGAAGAAUACAAGAGAAUUGCUAAAAAUAAUGUUGGUUCAUUUCUGUGUUUCCAAUUCACCUCCCACUGAUAUGAUCAGCUAUUAUUGUUUAGUCAACCACUGCUAUUUUUAUUCGUGUUGUACUUGGGCAAUCACGUUUCCUUUGAGAUGUCAGUUACAGUAAACUGUGGGACCUCAGCCGUUCUUUUCUGCAGACAAUACAGUACACCACAAGGAGCUCUUUCUGCUUACUCUUUGUUUUUAAUAUGCAAAAAAGAGCCUAGCCUAUAUUCUGUUACCUGUUCAGCAUCAGGUGAAUUUUUAUACUACAUAAAUUACCAUACGUAAAAAUUACCAAGUAUAACACAAUAACAUAAACCAUAUAUAACAGUUACUGCUACUAAAAUAUGGUAAUUCUUCAAAUCAGUAAUACAUCUUUGUUCCGUCAUUUGAUGUCACCUCUGAAUGACUCAAAGUGUCACCUUUGGGACACUAUGCUAGAGAAGCUGUCUUUCCUACAUGGAUAACAAGACAAGGCCAUUAUCAUGUAUGAUCAUUAAAGGCCCCCAAAGUAUUUCUUAUGGGAGUAGAGGUGAAGUACCUGGAUUCUUUCCAAAUUCCUGUGCAAGUAAUUUUAAUCUACUUCCUCUAACUCCUUCUAUGGCUUUGCUAACAUCUUUUAUUGUUGCAUGAAUUUUCUGAAGCUGUUGGUUAGGAAUUGUUGUUAAACAUUAUGUAUGUAAUUAAAGCAGAGCCUUGCAUAGUGUAUUUUUAGAGAACCUGAAGUUAUGCUGAAGUUGAAGGGUGUCAUCUAAUUGUAAACUCACUGUC
rnacentral:lncRNA from 7 species